rnacentral:rRNA from 1 species
UACGAAGGGGGCUAGCGUUGCUCGGAAUCACUGGGCGUAAAGCGCACGUAGGCGGCUUCUUAAGUCAGGGGUGAAAGCCUGGAGCUCAACUCCAGAACUGCCUUUGAUACUGAGGAGCUUGAGUCCGGGAGAGGUGAGUGGAACUGCGAGUGUAGAGGUGAAAUUCGUAGAUAUUCGCAAGAACACCAGUGGCGAAGGCGGCUCACUGGCCCGGUACUGACGCUGAGGUGCGAAAGCGUGGGGAGCAAACGGG